rnacentral:rRNA from 1 species
CUAAAAACGACGGUCUCAGUUCGGAUUGAAGGCUGAAAUUCGCCUUCAUGAAGCUGGAAUUGCUAGUAAUGGCAGGUCAGCAUACUGCCGUGAAUACGUUCCCGGGCCUUGUACACACCGCCCGUCACACCAUGAGAGUUGGAAAUACCCGAAGCCUGUGAGCUAACAGUAAUGAGGCAGCAGUCGAAGGUAGAGCCAAUGAUUGGGGUGAAGUCGUAACAAGGUAUC